rnacentral:rRNA from 1 species
AUAAAAUUGUUUAAUAAUUGCUUAAUUUCAAAAAUUUUGUAGAAACAACUUAAAAGUUAAAAAGUAUUGGUUAAAAAAAUUUUGCGGAUAAGCUAUAGAUAAAAGUACUGUUAAGGAAAUAAAAGAUAUAAGUUAAAAGUGAAUUUAGAAGUUAUAAAUAUGUGUACCUUGGGUAUCAGGGAAAACUAAAAUAGAUUAAGUAGUUUAAAUUUCUCGAAAUCUAAAAAGCUAAAAUUUUAUUAAUUUUUUGUAGAAUAAAGAUUUAUAAUAAAAUUUUAAAAAUGAGAUGUUAAUUGGGUUAGAUUAUAUCUGGUUUUUAAAAAAUUAAAUUUAAUUUAGCUUUAAAUAAUAUUUAAAUUUAAAAGUAAAUAUAGAAAGGUUAAGCUUUUUAUAUUGGAAGUUAUAAUAGGUAGGUUGAAAAAUAUUAUUUUCUAGGCUUGAAAGUAGCUAUGAAUGUAAAGUGUUUUAACUAAUAAGAGUUUUAUAUAAAAAUUUAAGAUUAUCUUUAAUUAGUAUUUAGAUAUAGAUGUAAGUAAAAUGCAUUUAGAAAUAAUGGUUUUAUUAGUAGAUAAAUUGAUAUAAAUGGUAGAAUUAAAAUAAUAAGAAAAUUUUUAAAAUUAAUUAAGAUUGGUAAAAGGAACUCGGCAAAUAUUAAAAUUAAAUUCUUUGCCUGUUUAUCAAAAACAUGUCUACAUGAAGAUUUAUGUAGUCAGGCCUGCUCACUGAAUUUAAAAUUUUAAGAGCCGCAGAAUUUUAACUGUGCAAAGGUAGCAUAAUCAUUAGUUUUUUAAUUGAAAACUUGUAUGAAUGGUUAGACAAAAGAAUUUCUGUCUUUUUUUAAUAAAUUGAAUUUUACUUUUAAGUGAAAAGGCUUAAAUAUUUUAGAGGGACGAUAAGACCCUAUAAAGCUUAAUAAGAAUUAAGUUUUUUAAGGAAAUAGGUUUAUAAAUUUAGAAGCUUAUUUUUUAUUUCGUUGGGGUGAUGUAUAUAUAAUUUAAAGUAGCUGUAAGGUAUUAAGACAUGAAUUAGUGAAGUGAAAAAAUUGGUCCUAAUGUUAAGAUUAUAAGACAAAGUUACUUUAGGGAUAACAGCGUAAUUUUUUUUAAGAGUUCUUAUCGAAAAAAAAGUUUGCGACCUCGAUGUUGAAUUAAAAUAUCUUUAUUAGUGUAGCCGCUAUAGGAAGAAGGUCUGUUCGACCUUUAAAUUUUUACAUGAUUUGAGUUCAAACCGGUGUGAGCCAGGUUGGUUUCUAUCUUCUGAGAGGUAAAAAUUAUUUUAGUACGAAAGGAUUAAAUAAUUAGAAUUAUUCUAAAAGUUGGGUUUGUAUACUUUGAGUGUGAGAGAUUAUAUAGAAUAUAAGGUUAA